CCCUGCCAUUUGUACACACCGCCCGUCGCUACUACCGAUUGAAUGUUUUAGUGAGGCCUUAGGACUGGCUCUUGGGGGUUGAAUAAACCCCCUUGAGCCGGGAAUUUGGUCAAACUUGAAUAUUUAGAGGAAGUAAAAGUCGUAACAAGG
rnacentral:rRNA from 1 species